UACGAAGGGGGCUAGCGUUGCUCGGAAUUACUGGGCGUAAAGGGCGCGUAGGCGGAUAGAUUAGUCAGAGGUGAAAGCCCAGGGCUCAACCUUGGAAUUGCCUUUGAUACUGGCUAUCUUGAGUUCGGGAGAGGUGAGUGGAAUGCCGAGUGUAGAGGUGAAAUUCGUAGAUAUUCGGCGGAGCACCAGUGGCGAAGGCGACUCACUGGCCCGAUACUGACGCUGAGGCGCGAAAGCGUGGGGAGCAAACAGG
rnacentral:rRNA from 1 species